AAGGAGCAGCCACACCUGGUUCCUGUCAGCAAGUGCCUUGACAAGUGUCAGCAAGUGUCCGGUUUGGGUUUGACGUCUGCACACAGGAUGGAUCCCCCGGUGUAACACAGAUUUACAGUGCAGGUGCUUGGUAUCUGAACUCAGGCUUUCAUGCUUUUAUAGCUUAACAUUUUACCAACCAAGACAUCAAUGCAGUCCCAGGGACUUAGCCGAUUCACUUUACUGAUCUACUCAAUUUAAAGUCAGACUGAGCAUGCCCACAAUCAUGACUAAGGGAUCGGUUUAGAAUGUUUUGGAGUCUAACAAAGUAAGAAAACUUAAAGAAACGAAGGAGAAAAACAAGACACAGAGGGAGAUGGAGAAACUCAAUAGAGUAAUCUGUUCGCAUAGUAGAAACAAGCUAGAUGCCAUGCUCCUUAUGCCCAGAGACACCAAGCACCUCAUACAUCCCCGGUGCCCAAGCUACCCUGGCUAUCUUGGGUUUUUUUGUUGUUGUUGUUUUUUGUUUUUUGUUUUUUGUUUGUUUUUGUUUUUUCCCUCUGUGUAGCCCUGGCUGUCCUGGAACUCACUAUGUAGACCAGGCUGGCCUCAAACUCAGAAAUCUGCCUGCCUCUGACUCCUAAGUGUUGGAAUUAAAGGGAUGCACCACCACUGCCCACCUCCUGGCUAGCUUUAAAGGCAAUUUUACAUUUACAUUUAUUAGUUGAUGCCUUCCAUAAAAAAAAAAAUAGUUGUCAAAGUCAGUUUCUUGGAUUUCAAAAGGAAAAGAGCUGAAGAGCAAUUGUAUAUCAUGAUUUUCUCCUUCGAUUUUCAGUGCCACUGUAGACUAAGAAUUAGACACAUCAUCUUAUAAGCCUCCAUGAGGGUCGGUAUUGCUGCCUUAAAAUCCUGGGUCUUCAGCAAACACAGGGAUUAAUUGGAAGUUACAAGUUCCAGCGAAGCCUGUUCUUGAGGAAACACAGUCUUUGUGGACUCACAAGAGGAUGUAUUCAACUUCCCAGCUCACUGAUUUGACAGUAAAGGAUUCUUGGGUGGCAUUUCAGAGCAUAGAGAUGACCCUAGAACACCUCUGCUCCCAACCCUGCCCCUACCCCCUGCUGAAGCCUCUGUUUCAAAUGAUGUAGCUACUUGGAUGUACCUACUUUAAAAAUAAAAUGAUAUGCAAGUUUAAAAAAGAAAGAAAGAAAGAAAGAAAGAAAGAAAGAAAGAAAGAAAGAAAGAAAGAAAGAAAGAAAGAAAGAAAGAAAGACAGGAAAGCCAGCCAAGAGCAAGAGUUGUGUGUUUGACAUGAGUAUUUGGCAUUGUGCAACUUUGUCAAGCUUCAGAAAAGAAUGAGAAGUUGGAAAGUAGAAGGGAAAAUGCAUCAUAAAACAUAUACUGACAUGGAUGCAGUCUGGUCUCCCGACCAAGAGAAUUAUACACUUUGAGAAAUGGGUAUGAAGCACUGAGUGGCUCCUAGAAUUCAUGACAGCAGGACUUGGGAGAAUCCAGUGCUGUGGGGCUCUGGCUUCUAAUUCUCUGUUAUACAUGAUGGCUGAUAAAAAUAGUCCUGAAACUGGCAGACCAUAAUUUUAACUCUAUUUAUUAUGUGGAAAUACACAAGCAUGAAAAAUAUGGAGAUGAAGACAGUGUCAAAAACAGUGGAAAGUUCUUUUCAUGUCACUCAUCAGAUUUCAUCCGGUGAACAUGCCCAGCAAAAAGGACCCAAAAGAGGGUAUAUGGCAAAAAAGAAACAGAUUGCUAAAGUAGAAAGAAGAGAAACAUGCAUAUUUUAGGAGUGAAACAUGAAGGAUGAUAUCAACUUGGAGUUGGUAACACUGAUUUUGUUGAACGAUUUCUUCUAUAUCUUUGACAGCUCAUGUUGGUAGACUUAGUAGAGUAAUGGCUAUUUAUCUUGAGGUGAUGUAACAGAAACCACCAGACUGCCUCUACCUGAUGUAGUAUGAGGUAAAAAUGGACAAAACCUAAAUGCUAUCUACACUGGGGAAGGUUUCUAGAAGAUGCACGGCCCAAAUGUGAUCUCUAAUGUUCACCAAGUGGAUAAACAGAAGACUUUGAGGAUAAAGAUUUGCUUCUAGAAAGUUUUUUGAAGUAAUUUCUGUCUAUAGUAAACAGGGAACAAAUAAAGGAGCUAAAUUAC